rnacentral:rRNA from 1 species
CUACGGGAGGCUCCAGUGGGGAAUUUUGCGCAAUGGGCGAAAGCCUGACGCAGCAAGACCGCGUGAGUGAAGAAGGCCUUUGGGUCGUAAAGCUCUUUUAUUGGGGAAGAUAGUGACGGUACCCAAUGAAUAAGCACCGGCUAACUCCGUGCCAGCAGCCGCGGUAAUACGGAGGGUGCAAGCGUUGUUCGGAUUUACUGGGCGUAAAGGGCACGUAGGCGGCAUAGUAAGUUAAGGGUGAAAUCCCGGGGCUCAACUCCGGAACUGCUCUUAAAACUGCUAAGCUUGAGAUGGUCAGAGGCGGGUAGAAUUCCUGGUGUAGAGGUGAAAUUCGUAGAUAUCAGGAGGAAUACCGGAGGCGAAGGCGGCCCGCUGGGACUAUUCUGACGCUAAGGUGCGAAAGCGUGGGGAGCAAACGGGAUUAGAUACCCUUGUAGUC